AUACUAAAGUAUAGAUAUAAUGUCCACGAGACGACGCAUUUACUUGUCAAAAUAAAGGAAUACAUGUACAUACCGACGAGCAUGCAUAAAGGGAUCUACUAAUAUUAGGAAAGUAAAAGAAAUAUGACAGGAUAGGAGCAAACAUGUUUUGUGGUCUUUAUCUACAUGGUGGGAAAAAUACAUGAGAUUAUGAAUAUAUAAAUAAAGUAUAGUGAAAAGCGAGAGUUGAGGAUUAAAGGUGAUAAACGUUUAUAAGUAUAACGUUUUCAGUUACAAAAAACUGAGGGUAGGUAAGGAAUGCCGCGGGCCCUGUGUUGAAGACCGCUGACUUAUAUUACAGAGAUAAAUAAUAGAAUCCCUCACCUACGCAUCAAACCUUUAUUAAAUGUCGCCGAACUUUCUACCAAUGGGUAAAUGCAGAUGGUAGCACUGCAAACAUGGCGGGAAAACUGCAUUUAUGUUUGAGUCUGCUAACUCAGUGAUUACCUUUCUCGACUCACAC